rnacentral:rRNA from 1 species
GUGUCAGCCGCCGCGGUAAGACGAAGGUGGCAAGCGUUGUUCGGAUUCACUGGGCAUAAAGGGCGCGUAGGCGGUUCCAUAAGCGGCAUGUGAAAGCCCCCGGCUCAACCGGGGAAGUGCGUGCCGGACUGUGGUUCUAGAGGGUGGUAGGGGGGACUGGAACUCUCGGUGGAGCGGUGAAAUGCGUAGAUAUCGAGAGGAACACCGGUGGCGAAGGCGAGUCCCUGGUCCACUUCUGACGCUGAGGCGCGAAAGCGUGGGUAGCAAACAGGAUUAGAUACCCUAGUAGUCC